rnacentral:rRNA from 1 species
AACGAACGCUGGCGGCAGGCUUAACACAUGCAAGUCGAACGCAUCGCAAGAUGAGUGGCAGACGGGUGAGUAACGCGUGGGAACAUACCCUUUUCUACGGAAUAGCUCUGGGAAACUGGAAUUAAUACCGUAUACGCCCUACGGGGGAAAGAUUUAUCGGGGAAGGAUUGGCCCGCGCUGGAUUAGCUAGUUGGUGGGGUAAAGGCCUACCAAGGCGACGAUCCAUAGCUGGUCUGAGAGGAUGAUCAGCCACAUUGGGACGGAGACACGGCCCCAACUCCUACGGGAGGCAGCAGUGGGGAAUAUUGGACAAUGGGCGCAAGCCUGAUCCAGCCAUGCCGCGUGAGUGAUGAAGGCCUUAGGGUUGUAAAGCUCUUUCACCGAUGAAGAUAAUGACGGUAGUCGGAGAAGAAGCCCCGGCUAACUUCGUGCCAGCCGCCGCUGUAA